GCCGCGGGAGGCGGCGGGGCCCGGCCGGACGCCUGGGCCCUCGCGGAGGGGGGCGGGGGCGCUCGGACGCCUGGGCCCUCGCGGGGGAGGAGGCAGCGCCAGACCCACGACGCAGCGCUCACAGCUCCCUAUGGAGCAGCAGCACCAGACCCACAGCUCCCUAUGGGGCGCCGCCCCCUCCACAGCAGUUCCUCUUCCCCUCUCUGGUGCCAAGGCGGAACCGAAAAGGGCGGCAGGGGGGAAGCCCGCACCCCCCACACACACAUCCUGCCGUGGGGCUGCCCCACACCUUCCACUGGCCUCCCGCAAUCGGCGCUGUGGGGAGAAACGUUUCCACCAGGUCCCUUUGCGAUCCGGCGCUGCACAGGCUGCGCCCCGACGGCACCUCCGGGGCUUUCUUGGACGCGGUGUCGCGAUUCCCCUCGUGCAAGAUCCGAGCUGAACGCUGCGUUUAUUGCAUGUUGGAAACGUUAUUUUGGCUAAACACGGGGAAAAACAAAAAAAGAUUAAUUAAUGCAUUUGUAAA